UACGAAGGGGGCUAGCGUUGCUCGGAAUUACUGGGCGUAAAGCGCACGUAGGCGGCUUUCUAAGUCGGGGGUGAAAUCCUGGAGCUCAACUCCAGAACUGCCUUCGAUACUGCCGGGCUAGAGUCCGGAAGAGGUGAGUGGAAUUCCUGGUGUAGCGGUGAAAUGCGCAGAUAUCAGGAGGAACACCGAUGGCGAAGGCAGCUCACUGGGACGGUACUGACGCUGAGACGCGAAAGCGUGGGGAGCAAACAGG
rnacentral:rRNA from 1 species